AUUUCUAUAGUUUAAGGAAAACGUAAUAGUGAAAAUAUUAAGAUAUUAGGUUUGGAAAUA
rnacentral:tRNA from 1 species